CCGGAGAACACGUACGCUUGAAUUUGGGUAUACGUAUAUAUACAUUGUACACAUCACAUUGUCAUUGGUGUUUUCUGUGGAAACAAGAUUAAUGAUCUAAAUGCAUUCAUUUACUUCGGGUUUGUGUGCCAUCUGAGCUUCUGGAAUGAUGCACUCAUUGUUGGAGAGUGUGUAUAUUGAUUGCCACCGCUGAGUGCCGAACGCGCGGAACACACCAAACGCUGAGCGUUUGAAACGAAAAUAUAGCAACAAAUCACUUUUAUUGUUCGAGAGUAUGCAUGUGCGCGCGCGCGACCGCAUUCGCUUUUAGAGAAUUCAUUACCUCGUUGGAUUAUCAUCAUUUGUGCAUUAGUUAAAAUACAUUAUUACAACAGCCAUCUAAAGGCAGAAGAGCCAUUCACCAGCUACUGUUUCCACAACAGCCAAUGAAUAACAAUACAUCUCUAUCUCUAUGUUAUAGCCUGUCUGUUUUCAUUUGAUUUGACUCGAAUUUGAUUCGAAAAUGGAGUUUCCAUAAUUAAGUUUUUCCCGAUUCAUUAUCCAUUUAUUGUUUGGAUGGAAUGCGUCAUCUGCUUUAGUGUUUUUUUUUUCUCCAUAAAAGUAUUUUCGUCUUACGUUUAGUUUGCGGAACAACGCAGAGGGGAAAAUUAGGAAAAGAAAAGCAAAUAAAAUAUUAUUAUAGGAAUAGCGCUCAGGAACAACGAAACGAAACGAAUACGUAUUCAUUCCGAUCGAUAGCAAAUCAUUGGUCGCAUUUGCAGCUCAUAGUCGAGCAUUAUUCGUGUCUGAAUAAAUUUCCUGUUAUAUCAUG